rnacentral:lncRNA from 1 species
CUUAGGUUAAAUAUUUAGAGAUAAUUUUCCCUAAUUAAGAAAUGAACCUUUCAAAAAUCACCUUAUCCUUGAAGCUAAAGAUUGUAAACUUAUGCUUGCUAGUUUUUGCAUAAUUUUAUUAUCUCCUAUAGAUAUUGUGAUGCAUAAUAGCAUCUAGCGUUGUUUGGGAGGCAGCAUGAUUUGAAUGUCUUGGGGUUCAAGAAGGUGUGGUGAUAUGGUAUUGAAGAAGUUGAAUCACAGUGGUGACUUGGCCAGAACUCUAUAACCGUACGGCUAGUGAAGAGGCAGAGUCUCUUUACUAGUUUGAUUGACUCAUGGCCAACCUUGUACCAAGUCAGCUUAAAGAG